UGCGGUCCUUUUCCUUCUCUGCACCCUGGCGCUUUCCAUGAGGUCAGGCACCUUUGAGUGAGUGGGCUGCUGCUCCGUGUUCUGCUGAGGGAAAACGUUUGGAGGUGUCACAUUAAUAGCACAGCACAGCACAUGCUAAUUCAUAGGUCACCACUGGUUUCCCCUUCACCAAUCUCAGAGCUUGAAUCCUUGUGAAUGUUAAAGGCCCAACGGCCUAAUUUUUCCUCAUGUAAUCACAGAAAAUGGCCACAAGGUGGCAGCACUGCUUCAUGCCACAAUUUUUUUUUUUAAACCUGUAAUUUCGUUGCUAUUGGAAUAGAGUCGUUUCUGAUGUGGUAUUUGUUUACGAUGUACAGGAAUUCAAUUUAGUCAUAUAUGGAUAUUUAUUCAUUCUCUUUCAGGUUCUUUUUUGCAUAUAGGUGAUUACAGUAUGUUCAAUAAACUUCCCUCUGCUUUUCAGCAAUUAAUUUUUGAUCAUAUUUUGAUUAUAUAUUAAUAUAUAUAUGUUAA
rnacentral:lncRNA from 1 species